ACCUACCUAACCAUUUCUCUAUUCCUAUAUAUUUUUUUUCUUUACUUGCCUUGCUCUCAUUCUUCUCCUCAUCCUUCACACCCGAUCUCUUCUUUUAGCUGUUUUUUUUUUGUUUUUUUUGUUUUCCUUUUUGAUUGAUGUAGAAUUAGCGAUUUUACCCGACUGUUUACUCUUCCUAUUAUUUUCUUUCUGAUUUUAGCUUAGCUAAUUCCAUGAUUGCAUAAUUCAUAUCAUACUUGCGUAAAUGAAUGGUCAGCUUGUUUCUCCCAUCAUAUGCGAACUUACAAAUUUCAGUGAUUUUGGGGUUUUUUAAUUUUAUUUUAUUUAUUUUGUGCAGAAAUAAUAAUUUCAGUAAUUUUAAAAAAAAGUGUGUUUCCACACACUCGAUGGAGAAAAUGCACAAAAUAGGAACCUUUCAUGCACUCAUCAUUGGUCAAAGUAUUACCUGGUCAAAGGUAGUACCUAUAUCAUUAAAAUGUACUAGAAUUAUCAAAGUAGUAUCUUUAACCGAAAAGUGCACAAAAUUCUAAUUAAUUGUAGAUAUAUGUAUGAUGUUUGGAUUUGAAAAUCCUUGGUUCCUAUUUUGUGAUUUUUUCCAUGAGUGUGUGGAAACACAAUUCCCCCCCCCCCCC